AUGAUGUUCUGUGUUUUUGUGAUGUCAUGAUGUUCCAUGUCUGUGAUGUCAUGAAGUGUGUGUGGUAUAAAGACAGCGAUAGAGCCGCCUGCAGACUGAGUAACAUGUUAAGAACAUUAAUGUUAUACAUAUGAAGCCGUGGUGCGUUCACUGUCUGCUCAGGUAGAUGCGGUGCUAAAGGUCCAGAGAGGGUUGAUGGUCUUUGUGUUCCUGAUCAUGUUGAUGGAGUUCUUUCCUUCCUGUAGGAAACCUCGGAGUCUAAAAACGUCACCAUCACCACCUUAGAGCGGGAUCUGGCUCGAGCCUGUCAGGAGCAUGACCAGCUGCUGCAGACGUCCAAAGAAAGGCUGAACGCUCUGGGAGUCCUUCCUUACGACGUCCCCUUCAGACCCUCCAGACAGAUCCUCGGCGGGCAGACCCGGGUUCAGAACUCGUCAUGAAACACUGACUUAGGACUUCCUGCAGGUGUGGGGGGUCCCACUCACCGGCUGCACCUGAAGACUUUCAGCUUCUCUACCUCGCUCUGGUUUCAUCAUCUUCUCUUCGGUUCAGACCGGAGCUGAAGACGGUGGCCCGGAGAGUCAAACAUCACAUGACCCCGAAAUAAACAUUUCACACAACGCAAAAAAAUUAAAAUGAAUAAAAACACAAAAACAUUUCACAGAACG